rnacentral:rRNA from 1 species
UACGUAGGGGGCAAGCGUUGUUCGGAAUUACUGGGCGUAAAGGGCGCGUAGGCGGCAUGGCAAGUCAGGAGUGAAAGGCCUGGGCUCAACCGAGGAACUGCUUUUGAUACUGCCAGGCUAGAGUGCGGAAGGGGCAACUGGAAUUCCCAGUGUAGCGGUGAAAUGCGUAGAUAUUGGGAAGAACACCUGAGGCGAAGGCGGGUUGCUGGGCCGACACUGACGCUGAGGCGCGAAAGCCAGGGGAGCAAACGGG